UUUUUUAUUAUUCCAGACUGCCAGAUUGACUACUACCAGUAGUCAGUUCGGAACUAGUUACUGGUAACUAGGUCAGAGCUAGCUACAGGUAAUCGAAGGGUAGUCGAGUGGGGAACUAGUUGCUGGCUUUCUACUGGUAACUAGUUCGGAACUACCUCCUGAGCAACUAGCUACGGGUAAUCGAAGGGUAAUCGAGCGGGAACCAGGGGUGGUUCCGCCCUAGGACAUGCAUGUGUUAAAUUCUCCGCUGAAAUACAUUGCGGGUAAUCGAUCUGGAACCAGGGAGGUGAGAAUGGUAGCUAGUGCGGCACCAGUGCGGAACUAGUUGCCUGGUACUAGA